AACGAACGCUGGCGGCAGGCUUAACACAUGCAAGUCGAGCGAGGGCUUCGGCCCUAGCGGCGGACGGGUGGGUAACGCGUGGGAACGUGCCCUUCUCUCUGGCAUAGCCCUGGGAAACCGGGAGUAAUGCCGGAUACGCUCUCGGGGAAUUGCUCCUCGUGGGGAGAGAUGGACCGGGGAAGGAUCGGCCGGCGUUGGGUCAGGGUGUUGGUGGGGUAAUGGCCUACCAAGGCGACGAUCCGUAGCUGGUUUGAGAGGAUGGUCAGCGACACUGGGGCGGGGACGCGGCCCAGACUCCUACGGGAGGCAGGAGUGGGGAAUCUUGGACAAUGGGGGGAACCCUGAUGGAGCCAUGCCGCGUGAGCGAUGAAGGCCUGAGGGUUGUAAAGCUCUUUCAGCGGGGAAGAUAAUGACGGUACCCGCAGAAGAAGCCCCGGCUAACUCCGUG
rnacentral:rRNA from 1 species